GCUUAUCACCAUUCCAGAUUGAAUAUACCCAAUCUCGUCUGGUCUCGGAAGUCAAGCAAUCUCUGGCUUGGUUAGUACUUGGAUGGGUGACCGCUUGGGAAUACCAAGUGUGAUAAGCA
rfam:Ciona savignyi cont_33191, whole genome shotgun sequence.